CGACGACGCAUUUCACUUGACGACAAAAGUUGCCAUAUUAUAUCUUUUGCAAGUAAAACUUGUUGUGUUACUCGUUUACACACAUGCCCCGAUAUUCUUAUUCUUAUCUAUAUGCCCAUAGAAGUUGUGAGUUCUUUUAUUUUGGGAAAUUCUAAAGGAUUCGUUUUGAACUAUACAUUUUUAAACCUAUAGAGUUCAAACUUUUAUGGAAAAAGAAAAACUUCCCACGUGUGUUUCGAACAUC